CCAACAAAGACAGUCCCUCAGAAGCGGAAGGAGCACAAGACAUUUCUGAUUGCACUGGGGAGUUUUCAGGGACACUUCUCUCUGCCAUAUGAAAAACAAAGGGCAGUGAGAGCAGACAUGUUCCAUCGGGUCUGCAUUAAAAGUCUGAAAAUGAAGAGGGGAAAAGGAAGUGGAAAAGAACUGGAAACACUUUUGAAAGGCAGACAGGAACAGAAACAACAAUUGAGAAGUGGGGACACUGAGGUUCUUUGCUGGGAUCUUUGAUGCUGAGAAGUGUUYUGACAGUACUGAUCCAAUUCUAUGCAACAGGAGUCAUCUUCUGCUACUGCAUUAUGUUAAGUACAAGCCAGCUCCUUGUAGGAAGCAUUUGUAUUUACCUGCCAUCAAGACAAAUCACCAGUCUGAAAACACCACUUCACUUGUAAAGACAAGAUGAUUGUUUUCACAGUGCAGUGCUAUUUAUUUGCCUAGGAACACAGGUUCUUAWAAGGGCUGGGGAAUAAUGUUAGAUAUCACUCUCAGGCUUCUUCUGCMUGAAAAACRUCAGGAAAUUGUA